GAAUUUUUAAAUGGCACCCCCAAAUUUGUGCAAGGCAAAUAUUUUUUGGAACUAUCCGUUCCGAAUAACAAUUGACCAAGGAAAAAUAAUUUUAAUUAUGAAUUCACCAUUGGGAUCGGCUCAAGCUCGGUUAAUUUUAAUUGACUAGUGAACUAGUGCUUAACCUGGCACGGUAGUAAGUAAUAUAUAACUGUCAACUAUUAUUGCUAUUUUCAAUCUAAGUUGAGAACUUUUACUGCAGAGAAACCAUAAGGAAAAAAAAGU